GCGCGCAGCGCCCCCACCCGGCCCCGCGCGCCCCGGCCCGCGCCCGGCCCGCGCGCUCACCACAGCUUCCUCUUGAGCGGCAGGAGGCUGCCGCGGUUGGAGGGGGUGACGCCGAUGGCCAUCUGCAGCACCGUCAGGCCAGAUCUACAUGUCAAGAAACUGAGGGGGCCUCCAGUCAGCUGCCAGGGAAGAAUCAAGAUCCUUGCCUGAACACCUCUCACGGAUGAGAUCGAACUUGGAAGUGGAUCCUUCUCCUACUGAACCUUCAAUGUGACCACAGCACUGCGUGACACCACCACUGCAUUCCUGUAAGAAAUCCUGAGCUGCACAGCCCAGCUACAGUAUAUCCUGAUGUCUCACCCACAGAAACGUGAGAUAGUAUGUUUCCUAAGCCACUGAGUUUGGGUGCAAUUUGUUAUGCACCAAUAGAUAAAUGAAUACACUGUGUCAACACAUUGAUCCUAGCUGAUUACUAUAAGCCUCCUAGAAAUUCUCCCAUCUUUCCAAGGCUCUUAAAUGUAUGCCUUUCUACAAUUCAAGGGAAAGUAAUGGGCUGCUUAAGGAGGAAGAUAUAACUCAGCGUGUGUCUCUGGACAUCCUUUCCCAUAAUGCUUUUCUACUAUAAUCCUGCUCCAGAUUUUUGCUGGAAGAGAACACUUCCCUCAUUCUUCUGCCUUAGACUUCCAAAAUUGACUGGGGUCUAGACGCAUUCUUCUGUAUCCCUGACCUAGAUUCCUGUUCCAGAGCCUGCUUGGUACAUUUCUUAGCUCAUCUCAUCCGCAGAUUCCUUUACUGCAGCUGCACUCAGUGGUUGGUUUACAAGGAUCUGGACAUCGCAUCGCACCCACACAGACCCAAGCACUCUCGCUGGCACUGCAGAAUGGUCUGAUUCGCUCCCCUAGGCUGAUCCCGUGAAUGCUUGUUUCUGUGCAUUCCUCAAAUCCUACCCGAAAUCCCCUCAGACUUUCACAGCUCUGUUUCAACUGUGGACCCAAGAAGAGGAAGGCCUUGUACCGUGAGAUAAGUCAGCUUCCUGCUUCUGCAUCAGGAAUGUCGGGUUGGGGGACAACUCGGCAGCAUAUGCUGUGCUAAGUGACAUGGCAGAUUCACCUUCUGGAGCAGCCAGAUCUGUGGUCAGUAUUAGGCAAUGGUUCAUCAGAUUGCCCUGGGCAGCACAGAGGUCAGUGACACCAGGGUCCCUGGGGCAGGGGCCAGGCCUCAGUGCAUUACGGGUCCAACAUCAUUCCAAUGUGUAGCCAGGCCAAGCGCCAGUCAUUUCUGAGCUUCUUCAUUAUUUCCCUUCGGAGAAUUUUGUCUCCUCGCACUAGCUUGAAAAGAGCUUUCUCUACCCAGGUUUCCACACUGCUGACUGGUAUGUAAGCAGGUGAGGCCUUGUACUCUGUGUGUGUGCAUGCACAUGUGUGUAGUGCGGAUUAAACCCAAGCCUUUUGCACUGAGGUACAUCUCUACCUCUCUUAAUGUUUUUUUAUACCGAGUCAGGGUCUCACUAAGGCCCUGUAUUGGCUGGGCAGCCUCAGGUCGCAGUGUUCCUGUCUCGGCUUCCCAGAGUGCUGGGCCUCGUACUGUUUUUAUUAAUUCCCUGGUUUCUUUAUCCAGAUGUGUGGAUGGGCAUUCUUGAGGGUAGUUUAUACCUGCACUCAAGAAAGAUGUGCUCAGAACUUUAUUUAGAAAGUAAUGGAUUAUUUCCUAAUUAUAAAUAUUUAAUAAUUAUAAAUGGAAAUAAAUAUUUCCGAGUCAUCAUAACUGUAAGUUUAACAGGAAAUGGUGUUUUGUUGUUGUUGGUGGUGUUGGUACCAGGAAUGGAACUCAGAGUCUCACACUUGCCACACAGCUGCCGUGCCACCGAGCUACCGCUCCAGCCCUAACAGAAACUGUUACAAUUUGGAUAAAGAAACCGCACAGCCUCAUGUAUUUGGAAUGUGAUUGAAUUACAAGGUGACAUGGCUGUAGGAAGUGUCGUCUGUUCAGCAGAAGCAGGUCACUGGGAAGUGGCCUGGAAGGGUAUCAUCUCCAGAGCUCCUCCCUCUGUCUCUUUCUCGGCCACAUGACAUGAGCCGCUGUCCUUUGAGGCGGGUCCUUCUGACAUGUGGUUUCUGCUUUGAGCCCGCCAGCCUUGGACUGCAGCUUCUGAACUGUGGGUUAAAACAGACUGCGCCUCCUCUAAGUUGUAGGUGUCAGCUAUUUAGUCCCAGCGAUGAGGAAAGUGACUAGGACAGGAGUACACUGAUUUCUGUUUGUAUCUGUGUUUAUAAAUAAGCCAAGAAUUCCUUCUCAAGGUGCUGGACUUCAUGAUCAAUUGUUACUGGGAUGUGUUCCUUUAUGAAGGAAAUGUAAACAGAUGUAUUGCCCUAAACAUAAGUUUUCAGUCAUUUAACAUCAUCUUAUCUAUACAGUGAGUCCUCCAUGAUCACCUGUUGAGAUCCAUGGAUUCAACCAAACUUGGACUGAAAAUAUUCAAAGAAAAAUAUUGUGAAUGCCCUAUAGCUUUUUUGAUGACUCUUUCCUAAUGAAUACAAUGUAACAACUAUUGGCAUAGCGUCUACAUGGCGUCAGGAAUUGUACAUCACCUUGAGUGUUCUAAAGUAGACAGGAGGGUGGCUGUAGAUUCUAUACACGAUCUCAUUUUAUAUGACGUUCUGGAACAGCCAUGGAUUUUGGUAUGUAUGAAGCUCCUGCAAACAUCUCUGAUCUGGUGCAGAUCACGCAGAUACGGGAUUGGUUGAAGGGAAACAUUGUUCCUAUGAAGCUUCUGACAGCUGAGUGACGCCUCAGAGAAUCAUCAAUCUUACCAGUUCAUCAAACUGGCUCAGGUGUUACAAACCAGAGUGGCAUGGCCUCCCAGUGUAUGCGUGGAUACUUUUCUUUCUUUUGUGUGUUUUUGUGGAAUUUUUUUCAGUGAAAAGUGACAAAAGUUAGCAGUAAAGAUUGAAGUUGGUGUCUGAUGCUCUCUGGAUUGAAAUCAUUGUGUUUUCCUGGGUGACUGAGCCCAGCACCAGUGUCAGUUAGAGGAGCUGCCGGGAAUUGCAGUGCUUGUCCCACACUGAUAAAAGUAAAAUUCACCCUCUCUACCAAAGACAUUCUCUCUGUGCAAGGCUGAGAGUGAAAAAUUUAAAAAGCCUAAGCUGUCAACCACAUGCAUCAUGAAAAGUGGCACAGUUCUGAGUUUUGUCAGUGUUAUUUUGUCUUUUUUAAAAAAUUGUAUAGUUGGCUGUGAAAAGUAAUAGCUGCAUUCCCUUACAGUAUCGUUUAGCUUAAAGUUCAUUGUAAAAGAAAAUGGAGAAUAAAUAUCACUUAUCAGAAGCCCACAUUUAUCUAACCCUAAGAACUUUACCGAAGAGGUUUUAUUAUGGAUCAAAGUUCUCAUUCCUUCUCAGCAAGGUGAUUCAGCAAAUUAAAAUUAGGAGAGAAGUAGCUGGUGCUAUUGGGAAUGACAAUAAAUGCAUUAAGAGUGAUGUAUUCCUUGUAGGAAAAGAUCACUGCCAAAGCCAAGUUUAAACAAUGUGGAAUUUAAUAACUACUGCAGAGUACCAUCUAGUGGUGAAAUAGCUCCAGCCCUUCCGAUUGUAGUUUUAGAGCCUGAAAUUUGCAAAUUCAGGUAUAAGCCUGUUACACUACUCUGACUGUAAACUGUAAUUACAGAGGUGAAUAAAGAAAGGUAUUUUUUAUAAAUCAAAAUUUUCUUAGAAAGAUAAAGUAAAUUGACAUAUGAAAGGCAAACGGAGUAUGUGCAGCUCCCAUGAUAUAAUACUAAAUUGUAAAAUGUUCAUAGGAUUUUGAUAUGUCUCAUACAGAGUCACAACAAAUUGUAUUUCUAAAUAUUAAACAAGGACUAUAGUUCCUUUCUUAGCACAGUAAUUAUAACAGUUGGAUCUACAUAGUACCAUAGAAUUGUGAGUGCUGUUUCUUUUUUUUUUACUCAAAACAAUAGAAGUGUGUUUAUUUUCAGUAAGCGGGCUCUGAAAAACACUUUUGGCAUUGUAAGUGUUGUUUCAAAACGAUUAUCUUUAAUGAGAUUUAUGAAGACUAGAAAAAUAAUUUUUUAAAGACAGUUCAUCCUAUGAUAAUUUAAGGGUAUAGUUGAGGGCAGUAUGAGUAAUUUGGGCACAUUUAGAUCAAAUUUAGAUUAAAAUUGCAACAUAUACAUAUAAUACAUAUCUGUAUUAUAAGCACAUUUCUAGGCUUACAGCUCUAACUGUAGUUGAAAUAUAAAAUUGUUUUAUGAAACUGACGCUGAUUUGUUUGGCAAGUAUGAACCUAACAAUUUAAUGUAUUAAAUGUCAUAUUGCAACAGGAAAGGAUCUGAAGCGUAAAUGUCAAUGUUCAGGCCUAAAUUGUUUUUUAAAGUUCAUGUUUCUAUUUUAUUUUGCAUCCUAAAUUAACAACUAUUUAAAGAAAAUCUUCAUCUGCAUUGUGAUGAUAUGAUUUAUACUAUCUGUGCUAUAAUUUAAGUAGGAGAGAAAUUUUCACAAUUCAAUCAUAAUUUCCAUAAAGAGAAAAUAGGAGAGAGACUCUUAAGGUGUUUUGAUAGUUGGUGCUUUUUUAAAGAACUGCAAGAUCAAGAUCAAAACAUUUCUUUAGUUUACUUUCAUGCCUAAUACUAUGAAACUCCAUAGUCUGUAUGUACGAUCUCUUUUGCAUGAAGAAAACAGAGGUGCACAAAGAAAAUAAGAAACUGUAACUGAAAUUUCAAUGUCAAAUUACCACUUAAACAUUUUCCAGGCUAAGGUGAGGGUUAAAAUAUUUUCCCCAAGUCCAUACAGUUUUUAAAACUAGAAAAUUAGUUUGGUGCUUGACUUCCUCCACUUAGUAAUGAAACUAUGAAGAACUUUCCAUUCCAGAAAGUACUUGUUGGGAGUAAGUUCUCCAUGUACGUGUUUAGAACGAUUUUCUCAGUCAUUACUAUGAUGUCGGAUUCUUACUUCACUCGCAGAGUUUCUCUGUGAAAUAAGCCAUGCUCAGGUAAAUAUCCCAGGAAGAAAACCUUUGGAAAUAGCCACAUUGAUUUAUUUCUCUUGAGUAAAUUCUCAUUUUCAAUCUUAAUUUCCUUAAAAGGAGAAAUAUGGAAAUGCUAUUGUUUAAGUAGCAAAUGCAGAACUGGAGAGGGUAGCUCAGCCACAUGACACCAACCUGGCAAGCACAAGGUCCUGAGUUUGACUUCUGAUUCCAAAAAUAAACAAAUAGCAAAUUCUUCUGAAAAAGAACAUCAAAGCAGAGUAGUUUUAUUUUUGAAAUUGCUCCACUUCUCAGGCCCAUUAGUGGUGGGGCAAUUUGCAAGGAAAUUAGCUAAAAAUACAUCGUUGUUAAGGAGACUAUAAUCUGGAAAAAGAAGCAAUACGUGGUAGUUAAUGUCAGAUAAAAUUUUCCUACCAAGAUUUAAAACUCCUCGAAGACAAGCUUCAUUUCUUCUGCUUCCAUUUUUUCCUACCCGCAGCCUGGAAUGUUUUUGGAACAAGUGACAGAAAGCCAAGCACCAAAACUAGAGCCCAACGGGAGGUUAUUUGUUUUGUAACUGAUAGCAGGUUCAGCUUCAGGCAUGGAUUGACCCUGCCACACACCCCAGAUCCUUUGGUCUCCAUGCUGGCCUUUUGCUUUUGGUCCACUGCCUUUCUGUGGUUCCUUUUCAGGUAGGUUUUCUUCCACCAAGGCAGGAGCAAUCCUCUUAGUUUGAGGCAAAACAGUUUCUGUUCAUGUCUAGCUGUCAUUCAGGGAACUCCUUUGGCUUCACUAUCAUCCUGGGGAUUCCUUUUGACUCCGUUUUGGGUUAAGGUCAUUCCACAUUUUUUCCCUGUGUCUUGUUUCCUCAUUUUGGCCAAGUACCCCAUCUCUUCCAUUAGCUUCCUGAGCAAAGAUGCCUUGGAAUAAUAAUGUGUUUUGACCAUUUGUAUGACCAAGAUGUUUCUCGGCGCCAUGCUUAAUAGCUUUGCCCGUGUGAGCAUGAUUCUUUUAGUCUUAUCUGAUGCUUCUCUCUUUCCUGGGUACAUAAAGGACUACGCUUCCAGCCUCUUUGCAGAUUGGUGGUCUUCUAAUGAAAGUUUGGCCAAUGAAUUGAUGGAAGAAGCAUAUCACCUCCAGACUAGGGGCUCCCAUAGGCUCUCUUCUCCUGCCACAGGAAUUCUGGGAGCCAAUGUGUCGGAAAGGAACAUCUCCAGAUGGAGAGAGCAUGGCCAGCUGAGUCACAGGAUGGAGGAGGAUGACCUGCCCCUGUGGCUUUGCAUGAGCAAGAGGUACAUGUGGUACUCACCUCCUGAGAUACAACGGUUUCUUUCUUUUGUCAAUUGAAAAAGAUUUCAAUGAGAUACAUAUUUGUUAGGUGCAUGAUUCAUGUGAAAAAUAUUUGAAACACUCCCAAGGGACCCAGAGGAACCUCAAACAAAUGGAAAUCUAUGCUUUUAGAAAGAGAGAUUCAGGACAGUCUCAGUGGUAGUGCAGAGUGUUAAUUAUAAAGGUGAUGCCAUUCCAGACAAUUUUCUUUUUUCUGGCAGAACUAAAUGAUCUCAUUCUAAAGUUCAAAUGAAAGGAAAAUGCUGAAGAACAACACAGUUAAAUUCUGUUCUCACAUCUGACUCCAGGAUAAAGCCUAGUUAAUCACUUAUUUAAAUGCAAAAAGUGAUACCAUAAAACAUUAGAGUAAAUAAGGGUAGUUGUUUAGAAUCAAAUACCCAGGCUCUUCGUGACAUAACAAAAACCUAUGAGCCAUGAAAGAGAGACUGAUAGAUACACUUACCUAAGGAUAAAGGGAAAGAUACACAUAAAAGCCCUCCGAAAGCCAAGUCGGAAGACAAUAAGCUGGGAAAGUAUUUGCAACUGAGAUCACAGCUAAAGAAUAAAAGAUAAAAGAGUAAUAAGGUCUAAAAUGUACAAUAGUUACUGUAAUAAUGAAAGGGAAAGAAAGUGCUCAAAAGGAAAGAACAAUUGGGAUAGGGGAAAGGAGAAAAGAGAGAAAGGAGAAGACUGUGUAUGUAGGUCCACAUAUAUAAAUGUUUGCAUAUAUUUAUAUACAAGGCAGAUAACUAGACUACUAACCUCUGUUAGUGCAUCAAAAAAGCAAUUUGUCUGUCAUGCUUUGACCUGUAUUGUAAUGUUGUUAUGUCCUCUUUUAUCUCAGUCUCUCUCUUAUUCAUUAAAAAAUUAUUUAGUUAUUUUUUAUGAUUUUUUUAAUUAAAGGGAAAAAUAAAAAAAAUUAGCAGGAUAUAUUAUAGUAACUUUUUUGAUUUCCUAUUAACUUGAUUUGAAGUCCUGUAAUACUCCCACUAUCUUGUUUUGACUGAUUAGACUCUGUUCCGUUCUGCAUGAUAGUAUCAAGUUUGAGGGUAUAGGCAACUACUUUGAAGGCAAUAAGAUUCACUCAGAUGGCCAUUCUGGUUUGACUAUUAUUUUCUUUGGAAGUCCUGUAAUGUUUACAAGGUUUAGGUUUUAUUGGUCUUGUUCUCUACUGUUUUGUUCAACUUUAUAAUACCUGAUGAGAUAGACAAUUCUUUUUAAGGAAGCAAGAGGUAUUAUGGUAACCAUUAUUGAUAACCAUAUAUUCUGUUUUUACAUCAUGUGCUAUGUCUAUCCUUGGUUUUGACUGACAGUUUUGUUUUGCCAUAUUUGACUUUAUUCUCUUCCAAAAAAAAGUAAUGAGAACUAAGGAGUAAUAAAACCCAAAAUGUGUAAAUUUUGUUAUAAAAAAGAGAGGGAAAAAAAGUUCUCUAAAGGAUACAACUGCAAGUGUGUUUAAGGGUGUUAAAUAGCUGACCAUAUUAAUGUUUUUGGUUGGAUCAUUGAACGCAACUGUUUGCAGUCUCACUGUUUGAAUGUCCACUUUGUAUGCUUUGAUGCUGCGACUUGAGCAACUACCUCUAAGAUGAUAAUGUGUAAUCUAUUAACUGGUGAUUUCUUAGUGUUUUUUUGUUUUUUGUAGUUCUGUAUUACUUGUACCCUUACAUCGCUUUGUUUUGUUUUGUUUUUUCUCUUUUUCCUUUUAAAUAAAAUUUUUUUAAAAAGCA